rnacentral:rRNA from 1 species
GGCAGCUACCAUGCAGUCGAACGGCAGCACAGGAGAGCUUGCUCUCUGGGUGGCGAGUGGCGGACGGGUGAGGAAUACAUCGGAAUCUACUCUGUCGGGGGGGAUAACGUAGGGAAACUUACGCUAAUACCGCAUACGACCUACAGGUGAAAGCNGGGGACCUUCGGNCCUUGCGCGAUUGAAUGAGCCGAUGUCNGAUUAUCUAGUUGGCGGGGUAAAGGCCCACCAAGGCGACGAUCCGUAUCUGGUCUGAGAGGAUGAUCACCCACACUGGAACUGAGACACGGUCCAGACUCCUACGGGAGGCAGCAGUGGGGAAUAUUGGACAAUGGGCGCAAGCCUGAUCCACCCAUACCGCGUGGGUGAAGAAGGCCUUCGGGUUGUAAAGCCCUUUUGUUGGGAAAGAAAUCCAGCUGGCUAAUACCCGGUUGGGAUGACGGUACCCAAAGAAUAAGCACCGGCUAACUUCGUGCCAGCCAGCCAGCCGUAAUACGAACGGAUGCAAGCAGUUACUCAGUAAGUACUGGGCGUAAANGAAGUGCGUACGCUGGUCGUUUAAGUCCGUUGUGAAAAGACCCUGCGCUCAAUCCUGGGAACUGCAGUGGAUACUGGGCGACUAGAGUGUGGUAGAGGGUAGCGGAAUUCCUGGUGUAGCAGUGAAAUGCGUAGAGAUCAGGAGGAACAUCCAUGGCGAAGGCAGCUACCUGGACCAACACUGACACUGAGGCACGAAAGCGUGAGGAGCAAACAGGAUUAGAUACNCUGGUANUCCACGCCCUAAACGAUGCNAACUGGAUGUUGGGUGCAAUUUGGCACGCACUAUCGAAGCUAACGCGUUAAGUUCGCCGCCUGAGUGAGUACGGUCGCAAGACUGACACUCAAAGGAAUUGACGGGGCGCCCGCACAGGCGGAUGGAGUAUGUUG